UACGUAGGGACCGAGCGUUGUCCGGAAUCAUUGGGCGUAAAGAGCGUGUAGGCGGCCAACUAGGUCCUGCGUGAAAUCUCGGGGCUCAACCCCGAGCGGUCGUGGGAAACUGGUUGGCUAGAGUGCGGGAGAGGAGAGUGGAAUUCCUGGUGUAGCGGUGAAAUGCGCAGAUAUCAGGAAGAACACCCGUGGCGAAGGCGGCUCUCUGGAACGCAACUGACGCUGAGACGCGAAAGCGUGGGGAGCAAACAGG
rnacentral:rRNA from 1 species